CCGUGCGGAGCGCUGCGCCGCCUGGGGAGGAACGCGGCGGCGGUAGCCCUGAGUGCGGCGUGGGAAGCGCCUCGCCCCGCGACGAGGACUCAGUGCUGCGCCGUGAGCUUCUGUUGACCUGGGGCGGUUUGUUUAUUUCAGGAUGGGAACGGCACGGACUGAAGCCGCUCCUCCUCAAGCCCUGACCCAGUUCUCACGCAGAGCCUUGGCAGCUCGCCGCAGGUCAGCGAUCCCAUGUGCCUCCGUGCCUUUCCUUCAGGUGUUUGUAGGAAAGCCAUAACCAGCAUGAGACUCAUCCUGAAGUGAGAGAAAUAAACACUGUGCUCAUCCUUCUGCCUGUUUGUUUCACCCCCAGCUAUCCACGUGUUUGAAAAGCAUCGAUCCUGAGUUACUUCUGGAUUGGAAUGCAGCUGAUGCUGUGAGGGGACAAGUCUUCUAAAGAGGCCGAGGAAUAAGAACUGCUCCUUCCCCAGUCCUUACAGCACUGCUCCCCACACUCGUGGGAAACGGCUCCUGCCGAGCGGUUCUCUCCUCUGCACUGCCCUCCUACCAACACACGUGCUGUGACUUUACAUCCCACUGCCAGUCCUCCAGCUUUAAUGCAGCUUCUAUUUAGCUCUAGCUACUUCACAGGGGAGAAAGAGUGUUAAAAAAACCCAAAAAGUGCAAGCCGGGCCCUGUAUAAAUAAUUAACAUUGGUUUAACAGCAUUCGUGAUUUUACUAUUAAUGUGCGCCUUGCUGCAGCUGCCCAGGCCCAGCAGUGAGAGCGCCCUGCUGGAGGGCAGCCCGAGUCAUCCCCAUGCCCUCCUGCUGGGUGGGUCACCACUGCCUGGAAAUCCUCUGUCAGUCCAUUCUGAAACCCCACAUAGCUUCCACCUGGCUCACAAACCGCUUCAGCAAAACCUCAACGAGAACAAUUCCCCUCUGAUAACACUGGGGAGAGCAAAAGAAACAAAAAGGUCACCACUUCCUUAAAAUCAUUUCUCUUCCACUGCUUUACUGGAUGUGGGCACCAGCCAAGCCCUCACCAAACC
ensembl:lncRNA